AAUGAGAUGCCUGAAAAAAGGGUUAUUUUGAUAGAAUAAAUUAUGUAAUUUUAUUACUCUCAUUA
rnacentral:tRNA from 2 species